CAAAAACAGAUGCCAACAAUAACGACUUGUAAGGUUUAAAUGUGUUUUAUGAAUUUGUUUCAAUCUUAAUCAUCAAUUUCUUCGUCUGUUGGAACAUUUAAGAAUUUUUCUCAGUACCGUUUUGUUUUUACAAAGGGACAUAACACCAUUACUAACCGUGUAUGAAAUAAGCCCCGCCCCCUUCUUACCUAAUAAGGAAUAUAAAGGGACGUAACUCCACUACUAACCGUGUAUGAGAUAAGCCCCGCCUCCCUACUAACCUAAUAUCAAAUAUACACGGUUUGCACGCGGACGCUUUUAACCAAUCAUAUUCCUGGAAAUGUAUAGGAG
rnacentral:lncRNA from 1 species